GCCGACCGUUUAUAAAGUUUACCAAUUUCAAAGCAAAUGAAAAACUGGUGUAAAAUAGAUUCCGUUUAUUAUAACAGAAAUAAAUGUAUUGCAAUUUACAAUAAAUAGUAUUUAAAUAUUAUCAAUGUAUGUAAUUACCUAUAAAAUACCUAAUCUGAAAAGUUAUAUCUGAAGUUCGUAAAGCAGCUGAUCGUUAGCAUCCAAAUUUGAAACUGACUAUAGUUGACAUAGUUUACAAAGCGAAUACACAAAAAUAGAUAUUCCCUACUUCCGGUUAAUGGUUACAAUGUAAAUAUGAACGCUGUGUAGCAAAAGGCUACAAUUAUGAAAGAUUAUCGUUAUAAAUGAAUGUGUAAAAGGGCAAGAACAUUAAAGAUAAAGGGGAAACUAUAAACAGAAGAAAUUAUCAACAAAAUAAGAUUUACAGAGGUCAACAAAGUCUAAAUGGUCAGACAUCUUGAUUUUCAUGGUCAUCAUUCACAGAUCAAUACUGAACAGAAAACUUAAAGCUGAUAUUUUUCUCCAUAGUGCGACUUUUUUAUUAUUUUGAAAUGGAACGUGUUUUUUCCUACAUUUAUUUGAAAGAGGAAAUUUCAACAUGAUGACUAUAAACAAAAAGGAGUCAUAUCAUCACGAUCAUUGAUGCACAAGAACUUGAUCAUAUAAAUACAACAAUGUAAUUAUCAAUUGAAAGAUGGAACAAAUGAACAAAACAUUAGAAUGUUGUUGUCCAAAUAAACUUGCUUUGUUUUCUCAUUUGAAUCUCUCCAUUCAAUAAAGAUGUACAGAGGAAGAUCUUUGAAGAACAGAUUGAAAAAAUGUUUUGUCUAAGAAUUGCAGGAAUAUUCUAGUGAAUGAAAUUAUUUAUUGACUUCACU